AGCGGGCUGGUCCAACUGGCACGACACACGGCUCUGAACCGUCGAGAUCCAGGUCCGAAUCCUGGGCCCGCUA
rnacentral:tRNA from 1 species